GACGAACGCUGGCGGCGUGCUUAACACAUGCAAGUCGAACGGAAAGGCCCUGCUUUUGUGGGGUGCUCGAGUGGCGAACGGGUGAGUAACACGUGAGUAACCUGCCCUUGACUUUGGGAUAACUUCAGGAAACUGGGGCUAAUAUCGGAUAGGAGCUCCUGCUGCAUGGUGGGGGUUGGAAAGUUUCGGCGGUUGGGGAUGGACUCGCGGCUUAUCAGCUUGUUGGUGGGGUAGUGGCUUACCAAGGCUUUGACGGGUAGCCGGCCUGAGAGGGUGACCGGCCACAAUGGGACUGAGAUACGGCCCAGAAUCCUACGGGAGGCAGCAGUGGGGAAUAUUGCGGAAUGGGCGGAAGCCUGAUGCAGCAACGCCGCGUGCGGGAUGCCGGCCUUCGGGUUGUAAACCGCUUUCGCCUGUGCCGAAGCGUGAGUGACGGUAAUGGGUAAAGAAGCACCGGCUAACUACGUG
rnacentral:rRNA from 1 species